rnacentral:rRNA from 1 species
UACGGGGGGGGCAAGCGUUGUUCGGAAUUACUGGGCGUAAAGGGCUCGUAGGCGGCCAACUAAGUCAGACGUGAAAUCCCUCAGCUUAACUGGGGAACUGCGUCUGAUACUGGAUGGCUUGGAUUUGGGAGAGGGAUGCGGAAUUCCAGGUGUAGCGGUGAAAUGCGUAGAUAUCUGGAGGAACACCGGUGGCGAAGGCGGCAUCCUGGACCAAUAUUGACGCUGAGGAGCGAAAGCCAGGGGAGCAAACGGA